UACGAAGGGGGCUAGCGUUGUUCGGAUUUACUGGGCGUAAAGCGCACGUAGGCGGCGAUUCAAGUCAGAGGUGAAAGCCCGGGGCUCAACCCCGGAACUGCCUUUGAAACUAGAUUGCUAGAAUCCUGGAGAGGUUAGUGGAAUUCCGAGUGUAGAGGUGAAAUUCGUAGAUAUUCGGAAGAACACCAGUGGCGAAGGCGACUAACUGGACAGGUAUUGACGCUGAGGUGCGAAAGCGUGGGGAGCAAACAGG
rnacentral:rRNA from 1 species